CUCUGCUGGUUGCAGGGCUUCCGGGUACCUAAGGGGGGGGGGGGCGCUGUGCUUCCUGGGCUGCUUCUACACACGAGCUGAAACGCAUUUCAUGUGCAUCCAAAACGUUGUUGAGUAAGAGAAAGACAGAAGGAUGAGAAGAAAAAGUAAGGAAAACACUCCAACCAGGAGCAGACCAAAUAUUUAACAAGCAGGUGGAAGGGCCCAUUUGGGAUCAAAUGCAAGAACUCAUCACGCCAAACAGGCAGCGGAACGGGUGCAAGAAGGACCGAGCCCGGACAGUGAGCUGGGCGCAGGAGUCCCCUCAAGUGGGAAACAGACACCCAGAACGUUAUGGAGAACUCUGCCAGUGAUAAACACCAGCCCAGGAUGGGUCUUGGAUGGAGUUGGGCAGAUGGAUGUGUCAGGAAGACGUGAGCACCGAGCACGACCCCUUCAAAUUCCAUUUCAUGACUCACUUCAUGUUUGAAGCUGAAUUUGCAUGAAAAUUAAAUUCAUAAAUUCAGUCACAGCUUU